rnacentral:rRNA from 1 species
AGUGAACGUUGGCGGCACGCCUAACACAUGCAAGUCGAGCGAAGUAGUUUACUACUUAGCGGCGAACGGGUGAGUAAUACUUGGAUAACCUGCCUUAAGGUCUGGGACAACUACAGGAAACUGUAGCUAAUACCGGAUAUGACCACACUUACUAAGGUAAGAGUGGUAAAAGAUUUAUCGCCUUUAGAUGGGUCCAAGUCGCAUCAGGUUGUUGGUGGGGUAAUGGCCUACCAAGCCUAUGACGCGUAGCAGGUCUUAGCGGAUGAUCUGCCACAUGGGGACUGAGAUACGGCCCUGACUCCUACGGGAGGCAGCAGUGAGGAAUAUUGGGCAAUGGACGCAAGUCUGACCCAGCGAUGCCGCGUGAAGGAUGAAGGCCUUAGGGUUGUAAACUUCUGUCAGCAGGGAAGAUAAUGACGGUACCUGCAGAGGAAGCCCCGGCUAACUCCG